rnacentral:rRNA from 1 species
UACAGAGGGUGCAAGCGUUAAUCGGAAUUACUGGGCGUAAAGCGUGCGUAGGUGGUUUACUAAGUCAGGUGUGAAAUCCCCGGGCUCAACCUGGGAACUGCGCUUGAUACUGGUAAACUAGAGUUUAGUAGAGGGAAGUGGAAUUCCACGUGUAGCGGUGAAAUGCGUAGAUCUUGGAAAGACCACCAAUGGCGAAGGCACUCUACUGGGCCAUUACUGACACUGAGAGACGAAAGCUAGGGGAGCAAAUGGG